GACGAACGCUGGCGGUGUGCUUAACACAUGCAAGUCGAACGACGAGCGACGGAAGCCUGCUUCUAUCACUCUUAGUGUCGAACGGGUGAGUAACGUGUAAUCAACUUUCCCUUUUGAUGGGGACAACAGUUGGAAACGAUUCCUAAUUCCGCAAUCCAUCCUAUCUCUGAAUCCAGGAUGUCUUCAAAGUUGCCUCUAUAUGUUAGCUAUAUCUGAAGGUGGGGAGUGCGGCUGGUUAGCUCGCUGGAGGGGUAACGGCCCACCAAGGCGAUGAUCAGUAGCCGGUCUGAGAGGAAGGACGGCCACAUUGGGACGUAGACACGGGCCAAGCUUCUUCGGGAGGCAGCAGGUGGGGAACUUUCGCAAUGGACGAAAGUCUUACGGAACAACGCCGCGUGGGGGAUGACGGCCCUCGGGUUGGAAAGCUCUGUUAGUCGGGACGAAAGGGCUUCUUGCGAAUAGUGAGAAGGAUUGACGGUACCGGAAGAAAAAGCCACGGCUAACUACGUG
rnacentral:rRNA from 1 species